GUGAUAACGAGUGGCCUUGUGCCGCGAAGUGAUUGAUACCAUGCUUCCAAGAAAAGCCUCUAAGCUUCAGUUACAAAGAGACCGUACCGCAAACCGACACAGGUGGGCAGGAUGAGAAUUCUAAGGCGCUUGAGAGAACUCAGGAGAAGGAACUCGGCAAAUUAGCACCGUAACUUCGGGAGAAGGUGCGCCCUGGUAGCGUGAAAGCCCUCGCGGCUGGAGCGUGAAAGGGUUGCAGUGAAAUGGUGGCUGCGACUGUUUAAUAAAAACACAGCACUCUGCAAACACGAAAGUGGACGUAUAGGGUGUGACGCCUGCCCGGUGCCGGAAGGUUAAGUGAUGGGGUGCAAGCUCUUGAUCGAAGCCCCGGUAAACGGCGGCCGUAACAAUAACGGUCCUAAGGUAGCGAAAUUCCUUGUCGGGUAAGUUCCGACCUGCACGAAUGGCGUAACGAUGGCCACACUGUCUCCUCCUGAGACUCAGCGAAGUUGAAAUGUUUGUGAAGAUGCAAUCUCCCCGCGGCAAGACGGAAAGACCCCAUGAACCUUUACUGUAGCUUUGCAUUGGACUUUGAACCGGUCUGUGUAGGAUAGGUGGGAGGCUUUGAAGCUGGGACGCUAGUUCUGGUGGAGCCAACCUUGAAAUACCACCCUGGUUUGUUUGAGGUUCUAACCAUGGCCCGUGAAUCCGGGUCUGGGACCGUGCAUGGUAGGCAGUUUGACUGGGGCGGUCUCCUCCCAAAGUGUAACGGAGGAGUACGAAGGUACGCUAGGUACGGUCGGACAUCGUGCUAAUAGUGCAAUGGCAUAAGCGUGCUUGACUGCGAGACCCACAAGUCGAGCAGGUACGAAAGUAGGUCAUAGUGAUCCGGUGGUUCUGUAUGGAAGGGCCAUCGCUCAACGGAUAAAAGGUACUCUGGGGAUAACAGGCUGAUACCGCCCAAGAGUUCAUAUCGACGGCGGUGUUUGGCACCUCGAUGUCGGCUCAUCACAUCCUGGGGCUGUAGCCGGUCCCAAGGGUAUGGCUGUUCGCCAUUUAAAGUGGUACGUGAGCUGGGUUUAAAACGUCGUGAGACAGUUUGGUCCCUAUCUGCCGUGGGCGCUGGAAAUUUGAAGGGACCUGCUCCUAGUACGAGAGGACCGGAGUGGACUAACCUCUGGUGUACCGGUUAUGACGCCAGUCGUAUCGCCGGGUAGCUAAGUUGGGAAGAGAUAAACGCUGAAAGCAUCUAAGCGUGAAACUCGCCUUAAGAUAAGAUUUCCCUGGGGACUUGAUCCCCCUGAAGGGUCGUCGAAGACCACGACGUUGAUAGGCUGGGUGUGGAAGCGCAGCAAUGCGUUAAGCUAACCAGUACUAAUUGCCCGUGUGGCUUGAUUG
rnacentral:rRNA from 1 species